CUUGCAUCGUGAUAGGGAUAGAUUAUUGCAAUUAUUAAUCUUGAACGAGGAAUUCCUAGUAAACGCAGAUCAUCAGUCUGCAUUGAUUACGUCCCUGCCCUUUGUACACACCGCCCGUCGCACCUACCGAUUGAAUGGUCCGGUGAAGGCUCGGGAUUGCAGCUAAUGCCUUUACUGGUGUUGGUUUCAAGAACUUGUCUAAACCUUAUCAUUUAGAGGAAGGUGAAGUCGUAACAAGGUUUCCGUAGGUGAACCUGCGGAAGGAUCAUUACCACACAAUAAUCCAAACCGCGCUUACAUUAAACCCAUAGGCUCUGGCCCUGCUAACUAGUGGUAAACCCCUCUGUAACCCAUCGAGUCUCUCUGGUGUUUACGACCUUAUAAGAUCUCAUUAUGUGCCACUGCCGUGAUGAUGCAACCUGGAGGCCAACGAGUACGAUCCACCAAUUUAAAUUCAAUCGACAGCUUGACGAGAGUCAAGUUUAAAAGUAUAACAUUCCAAUACAACUUUCAGCAAUGGAUGUCUUGGUUCCCAACACAAUGAAGAACACAGCGAAAUGUGAUACGUAAUACGAAUUGCAAGACUUUGUGAAUCAUUGAAUUUUUGAACGCAUAUUGCGCUGCCAGAUUCUUUCUGGGAGCAUACACGACAGAGUAUCAUCAAACCCCAAUCUAUAACAUUAUUUGUUAUGGGCAAGUGAAGUUGGCUUUAAACAAAGCACUCCUUCUAAGUUAUUUAGUGCAGAGGCAUUUUCACAUUGUAGGAAACUCAGUGUAUUUGUUUCAACGUGCUAUUGGUCAAAAUUCACUUUUUGACUGUCUUCUUAACUGAUCUCUGACUGUGUAGGACUACCCGCUGAAUUU
rnacentral:rRNA from 1 species